rnacentral:rRNA from 1 species
AUUGAACGCAGGCGGCAGGCUUAACACAUGCAAGUCGAGCGGAGAGAGGUAGCUUGCUACUGAUCUUAGCGGCGGACGGGUGAGUAAUGCUUAGGAAUCUGCCUAUUAGUGGGGGACAACAUUUCGAAAGGAAUGCUAAUACCGCAUACGUCCUACGGGAGAAAGCAGGGGAUCUUCGGACCUUGCGCUAAUAGAUGAGCCUAAGUCGGAUUAGCUAGUUGGUGGGGUAAAGGCCUACCAAGGCGACGAUCUGUAGCGGGUCUGAGAGGAUGAUCCGCCACACUGGGACUGAGACACGGCCCAGACUCCUACGGGAGGCAGCAGUGGGGAAUAUUGGACAAUGGGCGGAAGCCUGAUCCAGCCAUGCCGCGUGUGUGAAGAAGGCCUUAUGGUUGUAAAGCACUUUAAGCGAGGAGGAGGCUACUUUAGUUAAUACCUAGAGAUAGUGGACGUUACUCGCAGAAUAAGCACCGGCUAACUCUGUGCCAGCCGCCGCAGUAA